rnacentral:tRNA from 1 species
AUUUUUAUAGUGUAAAUAACACGUUACAUUUUCGUUGUAAAGCUGAAGGCUUACCUUCUAAAAAUU